rnacentral:rRNA from 1 species
AAGUAGCAAUACUUAGUGGCAGACGGGUGAGUAACAUGUAGGUAUCUGCCCUUUGGCCUGGAAUAACACGAGGAAACUUGUGCUAAUACCGGAUAAGUCUUUACGGAGAAAGCUUUAUGCACCAUUGGAUGAGCCUGCACUUGAUUAGUUUGUUGGUGGGGUAAUGGCCUACCAAGACUGUGAUCAAUAGCUGAUUUGAGAGGAUGAUCAGCCACAUUGGGACUGAGACACGGCCCAAACUCCUACGGGAGGCAGCAGUGGGGAAUCUUGCACAAUGGAGGAAACUCUGAUGCAGCGAUGCCGCGUGAGUGAAGAAGGCCUUUGGGUUGUAAGCUCUUUCGUCGGGGAAGAAAAUGACUGUACCCGAAUAAGAAGGUCCGGCUAACUUCGUGCCAGCAGCCGCGGUAAUACGAAGGGACCUAGCGUAGUUCGGAAUUACUGGGCUUAAAGAGUUCGUAGGUGGUUGAAAAAGUUAGUGGUGAAAUCCCAGAGCUUAACUCUGGAACUGCCAUUAAAACUUUUCAGCUAGAGUAUGAUAGAGGAAAGCAGAAUUUCUAGUGUAGAGGUGAAAUUCGUAGAUAUUAGAAAGAAUACCAAUUGCGAAGGCAGCUUUCUGGAUCAUUACUGACACUGAGGAACGAAAGCAUGGGUAGCGAAGAGGAUUAGAUACCCUCGUAGUCCAUGCCGUAAACGAUGUGUG